AGCAUCAGCCCUCAUCUUUCACUCACACAGCUGUGCGUAAAAGCGCGCAAACGUUGCGUAAAGGGACCUCGGCAAAAGAACCGUGGAUGUUGCUCUCUUCAUCUGAAACUCAGCAGUGAGGUGUGAUCCACUUGCACACAGAUAUUUAUUAUCUGUGUUCCUGGCUAAGUACACACAGUCUGCAGUGAUGGAAACGCUUAAACUUGUUUUCAUUUCUGUGCUGCUUCUGUCAAACGUUUUCUGUCAAGAUAUGGAUGCUGACAUCUGGAGAGAAGACAUCGAGGAGGAAAAAUGGCCAAACUCUAAAGAAAUUCAAGACAUUUUAGUUAGAAUGAUCAGAAAACCAGGAUCUCGCCAACAUCUUGGAUUUAUGGGGAGAAAGGAGUCUGGAAAAACACGGACGGCACGUAAACGGCACAAAUUUCAAACCUUUGUGGGUCUGAUGGGGAAGAGAAGCUCUUGGGAUUAAGGAGCUCUGUGACCCGGCGUCGAUUCAAGGCUGAAGAUCGGAGAGAAAAACUAAAUUUCCAUCCGUGUGAUUUGUCUCCAUUCAACUUUUAUAGUCUGUACAUAUUAUUUAAUGUAUAAAAUAUAACAUUUAGUGCCAUUGAAAAUCGCCCUAACACUUAAAGUGCACAGAGCGACACCUAGUGGUAAAACAGUGUCCUAUAUUGCCACCAUAGAAAUCAUUUAAUAAUUCAAAAUUACCAGAGCACGUGUUUAAAUUGAGGGGCUUUAUAAAAAAA